GGAUCAUAUCAGUCCACAGUGGACAACAUGCAAGUCCUAGUGACAGUACAUGCUGUAGCUUCCAGUUUCUCGAACAUCAUGUCCAAUUCUAUCCCAUGUCUUCACAAGUCUGGACUCAGUGACUUAUUCCUCUUGUUCAUCCAGGGCAAGUAAGCCCUGAUACAUAAUGUUUGUUUAUUUCACUAUGGAUUAUCCAAUCAUAUGGACAUGUGCUGUUUUUUCAAGAUUUCAUUACUAAUUUAACCAGCAUUACCUUCUUCAGCAAUUUUAGCAACAGUAGCUCAUCUGUUGGACCGGAUCACACGGGCCAGCCUUCAUUCUACACGUGCAUCAAUGAGCCUCGGCCGCCCAUGACCCUGUCUCCGGUUCACCACUGUUCCUUCCUUGGACCACUUUUGAUAGAUACUGACCACUGCAGACUGGGAACACCCCACAAGAGCUGCAGUUCUGGAGAUGCUCUGAUCCAGUCGUCUAGCCAUCACAAUUUGGCCCUUUUGGUCAAACUCGCUCAAAUCCUUACGCUUGUCCAUUUUUCCUGCUUCUAACAUCAACUUUGAGGACAAAAUGUUGACUUGCUGCCUAAUAUAUCCCACCCACUAACAGGUGCCAUGAUGAGGAGAUCAUCAGUGCUAUUCACUUCUGUCACUGUUCAGAAUGUUACGCCAUUUGGGUUGAUAUGACCCUUCUAUCAUUUAUACACUAGACACUAGAGCACAUAGUGCAUGGUGUAAGUGUGUAGUAUGUCGUUUGGAACACACAGCUUUAGUACUUUAUGUACUCCAAGAUCCCUGACACAUGUCUUCAGGGAUUAGUAGCUCGUUUUCUCAUGAAAUUCAUUUAGUCUCUAUUACGUCUCCAAAUUUUCAGUUACUUGAAACUAGAUCGCAGUUCGAGAUUCAUUUCAUAUCCGAUUGAUUGUUUCUUUUUUUAAAUGUGAUGUUAUGUAAUGUAAUAUUU